AGAGUUUGAUCCUGGCUCAGAACAAACGCUGGCGGCGUGCCUAAUACAUGCAAGUCGAACGAGAAAGUCCCGGCUUGCCGGGAUGAGUAGAGUGGCGCACGGGUGAGUAACGCGUGGGUAAUCUGCCUUUAAGCUUGGGAUAACACUGCGAAAGCGGUGCUAAUACCGGAUAUGCUCACAGUUUGAGACGUCUGUGGGGAAAGGUGGCCUCUGACAUAAGCUACCACUUAAAGAUGAGCCCGCGUACCAUUAGCUUGUUGGUGGGGUAAUGGCCUACCAAGGCUACGAUGGUUAGCUGGCCUGAGAGGGCGGCCAGCCACACUGGAACUGAGACACGGUCCAGACUCCUACGGGAGGCAGCAGUGAGGAAUUUUGCGCAAUGGGGGAAACCCUGACGCAGCAACGCCGCGUGAGUGAAGAAGGCCUUCGGGUUGUAAACCCCUUUCGACCGGAACGAAUCCCCUCCUGGUAAAUAAUCAGGAGGAUCGACGGUACCGGGAGAAGAAGCCACGGCUAACUCUGUGCCAGCAGCCGCGGUAAGACAGAGGUGGCAAGCGUUGUUCGGAUUUAUUGGGCGUAAAGCGCACGCAGGCGGUUUGGUAAGUCAGGGGUGAAAUUCCGCAGCUUAACUGCGGGACUGCCUUUGAUACUGCCUUUCUCGAGUGCAUGAGGGGGAAGCGGAAUUCCGAGUGUAGAGGUGAAAUUCGUAGAUAUUCGGAGGAACACCGGUGGCGAAGGCGGCUUCCUGGCAUGUAACUGACACUCAUGUUCGAAAGCGUGGGUAGCAAACAGGAUUAGAUACCCUGGUAGUC
rnacentral:rRNA from 1 species